rnacentral:misc_RNA from 1 species
AAAGUCGUAACAAGGUCUCCGUUGGUGAACCAGCGGAGGGAUCAUUACCGAGUACUUAACUCAUAACCCUUUGUGAACCUUCAUAACCUGUUGCUUCGGCGGCGCGGCCCUCGGGUCGUGCCCGCCGGUAUCAUCAGAAUCUCUGUUCGAACCCGACGAUAUUUCUGAGUGUUCUAAGCGAACUGUUAAAACUUUCAACAACGGAUCUCUUGGUUCUG